rnacentral:rRNA from 1 species
AGUGAACGCUGGCGGUAGGCCUAACACAUGCAAGUCGAACGGCAGCACAGUAAGAGCUUGCUCUUACGGGUGGCGAGUGGCGGACGGGUGAGGAAUACAUCGGAAUCUACUUUUUCGUGGGGGAUAACGUAGGGAAACUUACGCUAAUACCGCAUACGACCUACGGGUGAAAGCAGGGGAUCUUCGGACCUUGCGCGAUUGAAUGAGCCGAUGUCGGAUUAGCUAGUUGGCGAGGUAAGGGCCCACCAAGGCGACGAUCCGUAGCUGGUCUGAGAGGAUGAUCAGCCACACUGGAACUGAGACACGGUCCAGACUCCUACGGGAGGCAGCAGUGGGGAAUAUUGGACAAUGGGCGCAAGCCUGAUCCAGCCAUACCGCGUGGGUGAAGAAGGCCUUCGGGUUGUAAAGCCCUUUUGUUGGGAAAGAAAAGCAGCAGGUUAAUACCCCGCUGUUCUGACGGUACCCAAAGAAUAAGCACCGGCUAACUUCGUG